GUGUGUUUUGAGUCUUAAAGUGUCUGAGUUGCAAUCAGGUGAUGCAAAUUAGAGUUUUGUGGGUCUUC
rnacentral:tRNA from 1 species